rnacentral:rRNA from 1 species
GACAGAGGGUGCAAACGUUGCUCGGAAUCACUGGGCGUAAAGGGCGUGUAGGCGGGAAGGAAAGUCAGAUGUGAAAUCCCUGGGCUCAACCCAGGAACUGCAUUUGAAACUCCCUUUCUUGAGUACCGGAGAGGAAGGUGGAAUACCUGGUGUAGAGGUGAAAUUCGUAGAUAUCAGGUGGAACACCAGUGGCGAAGGCGGCCUUCUGGACGGUAACUGACGCUGAGACGCGAAAGCCAGGGGAGCAAACGGG